CUACGUGCCAGCAGCCGCGGUAAUACGGAAGGUCCAGGCGUUAUCCGGAUUUAUUGGGUUUAAAGGGAGCGUAGGCUGGAGAUUAAGUGUGUUGUGAAAUGUAGACGCUCAACGUCUGAAUUGCAGCGCAUACUGGUUUCCUUGAGUACGCACAACGUUGGCGGAAUUCGUCGUGUAGCGGUGAAAUGCUUAGAUAUGACGAAGAACUCCGAUUGCGAAGGCAGCUGACGGGAGCGCAACUGACGCUUAAGCUCGAAGGUGCGGGUAUCAAACAGGAUUAGAUACCCUGGUAGUCCCGGCCGUAAACGAUGAUUACUGGGUGUGGGCAGGAAGACUGUCUGUGCCGAAGCGAAUGCGAUAAGUAAUCCGCCUGGGGAGUACGGCCGCAAGGCUGAAACUCAAAGGAAUUGACGGGGACCCGCACAAGCGGUGGAGCAUGUGGUUUAAUUCGACGCAACGCGAGGAACCUUACCAGAUCUUGACAUCCCG
rnacentral:rRNA from 1 species